AUACGUAGGGGGCGAGCGUUGUCCGGAAUUACUGGGCGCAAAGGGUGCGUAGGUGGCACUUUAAGUUGGAUGUGAAAUCCCCGUGCUUAACAUGGGAGCUGCAUCCAAUACUGGAGAGCUAGAGUGCAGGAGAGGUAAGCGGAAUUCCUAGUGUAGCGGUGAAAUGCGUAGAUAUUAGGAGGAACACCAGUGGCGAAGGCGGCUUACUGGACUGUAACUGACACUGAGGCACGAAAGCGUGGGGAGCAAACAGGAUUAGAUACCCUGGUAGUCCACGCUGUAAACGAUGAAUACUAGGUGUAGGGGGUAUCAACUCCCUCUGUGCCGCAGCAAACGCAAUAAGUAUUCCGCCUGGGGAGUACGGCCGCAAGGUUGAAACUUAAAGGAAUUGGCGGGG
rnacentral:rRNA from 1 species